rnacentral:rRNA from 1 species
UUGGGAUUCGACUAAGCCAUGCGAGUCUAUGGACUUCGGUCCAUGGCGGACGGCUCAGUAACACGUGGCUAACCUACCCUCAGGUGGGGCAUAACCUCGGGAAACUGAGGAUAAUACCCCAUAGGAAAAGAGGUUUGGAAUAAUCCUUUUCUGAAAGGAUAUCCGCCUGAGGAUGGGGCUGCGUCCGAUUAGGUAGUUGGUGGGGUAAUGGCCCACCAAGCCUACGAUCGGUACGGGCCUUGAGAGAGGGAGCCCGGAGAUGGGGACUGAGACACGGCCCCAGGCCCUACGGGGCGCAGCAGGCGCGAAACCUCCACAAUGCACGAAAGUGCGAUGGGGGAAUCCCAAGUGCCUAUGCACAGCAUAGGCUUUUCCCAAGUCUAAACAACUUGGGGAAUAAGGGCUGGGCAAGUCCGGUGCCAGCAGCCGCGGUAACACCGGCGGCCCGAGUGGUAGCCACUCUUAUUGGGCCUAAAGCGUCCGUAGCCUGUUCAGUAAGUCUCUGUUUAAAUCCUACGGCUUAACCGUAGGGCUGGCAGAGAUACUGCUGGACUUGGGACCGGGAGAGGAAGAGGGUACUUCGGGGGUAGCGGUGAAAUGCGUUGAUCCCUGAGGGACCACCUAUGGCGA